AUCGCUGCUCUGCCUUUUGGCUAAGGUCAAGUGUCGUAUCUUCUUAUCAGUUUAAUAUCUGAUACCUAUCGGUGGACUACAUAUUAAAUGCUCCCGAGUGGCGCAGUGGUCUAAGGGACUGCAU
ensembl:snRNA U2 U2 spliceosomal RNA